UACGUAGGCAGCAAGCGUUGUUCGGAGUUACUGGGCGUAAAGAGUGCGUAGGCGGUUGGAUAAGUCAGCUGUGAAAACCACGAGCUCAACUUGUGGCCUGCAGUUGAAACUGUCUGGCUAGAGUGUGGGAGAGGGAAGUGGAAUUCCUGGUGUAGCGGUGAAAUGCGUAGAUAUCAGGAGGAACACCGGUGGCGAAGGCGGCUUCCUGGACCACAACUGACGCUGAGGCGCGAAAGCUAGGGGAGCAAACAGG
rnacentral:rRNA from 1 species